rnacentral:lncRNA from 1 species
AGCAGGCUUGGUUUCUGUCGAAGCUGCCUGAAUGGUGUGUGCAGAAGAACUGAAAGGCCUGAAAACUGAGGUGCCCACAGGAUGGAAGGGCUCGCCUGUGCAAGUGAUGGCACAAUCUUUGAGCAGCAUCCAAGAUUUGUUCUCUUCCUUUGGUUCAGAGAAGAGCCAAGUCUUCUGCAGUUUGAUGUGGAGACAGGAGCUUUCCUGCGGCCAAGCCAACCUUCCUCCCCUGCCGGUCCCCACUAAGGAACCGGUGUAAAGAAUCCCUUUGCCAAGUGCAUUCACUGGCAGAGUUCUGAAAGCUGUGGUCUCAAUGCCACAGAGUGUUAAUAACUUUAUACUUAUUAAUUAAUCUCAGAGGCAAGAGUUGUCCUGCCCACUGAAGACGGCACCAAAGGAAUGAAGAUUGUUCAGGGGUCUUGCAUAGAUCAAUGACCAAGCAAGUGACAGAAGAUGUUGGGCUCAAAACACCAGAACACAUUCAGUCAUCAGCCUGUCUCUGUGCUCUCUCUUCCCAUCCAGCCAAUGAGGAAACAGAACAGAAUAUGGCUUGCUGGGCCAUCCAGCUCUUCACAGAUCAAUCCCAAUCCUACUACAAAUGGUGUCCUUACCAAAACCAGCCAGAAGAGCACAUGUGACCAGGAAGCCCCAGUGACUGGACAUGCUCAGGGUAAUGAUAUGAUUGAGGUUUAUAUUCAACAUUCAUGGAAUCAGAUGAAAACCCAAGUGGGACCCAUUCCUUGCCCCACCUCCUUUUCUCUUUGAGCAUUGGGAAUUGAACCUAGGACUUUAUGCAUUUGAGGCAAACACUUUAAUAUUGAACUGUAUCCCC